UACGGAGGAUACAAGCGUUAUCCGGAUUUAUUGGGCUUAAAGGGUGCGCAGGCGGACCGCUAAGUCAGGGGUGAAAAGUUGGGGCUUAACUCCAAUCGUGCCUUUGAUACUGGCGGACUAGAGUGCGAUAGGCGUGGCCGGAAUGUGAUGUGUAGCGGUGAAAUGCUUAGAUAUGUCACAGAACACCGAUCGAGUAGUCAGGUCACGAGUUCGCAACCGACGCUCAUGCACGAAAGCGUGGGGAUCAAAC
rnacentral:rRNA from 1 species